CAAAGUUUCAGCGCGUCGGAAGGCUCUCCAGAUGUGCGGGGAAUACAACUCUUAUUAUCGCUCGUCUCCUGAUGGGAACCAAAGCCCUGAUGGCAAAGGCUGCUCUGCUCGAAAGGGUGGGAAGGAGCGGAGGAAGGUGAGAAGCAAGAUGAAGAAAGUGGAAAAGCACAAGAGGGCUAUCAAGGGAAAGUGGAAGACAACCAUUGGACAAAAAUCCCAUGACUGAUGCAGUGUCGUUGCAGAAGAAAAGCCUCCUAUUUACUUAUUUAUUUACAGUAUUAUACCCCACCCUUCUCCCCCUAAAGGGAACUCAGAGCAGCUUACAGAACACACAUACGGCACACAUUCAGUGCCGAUUAGAUAAUUAACAAGGACAGACAACACAAACAGAGGUAAAGGCAGUUUUCCCCAUCUUAUUUCUGGCAUCUUAGAGGCUGUGCUCGACUCCAGCCACAGCGGGUGCUAUUACUUCAUCUUCCAUGCUGAGGAACUUUCCUCCAAUCGAUGUCCUUAAGGGCGCCUUUAUUACCUUCCCGCUAAAAGCAGUACCUAUUUAUCUAUUUGCAUUUCUGCUUUCAACCUGCUAGGUGGGCAGGUAAGCUGGGGUUAAUGGUGGGUGCCCAUCCUCAACCUGGGCUUGAACUAUCCUGUGCUGCAGGAUAUUUCUGCUGCAUAGUGGUCUAGCCGGCUGUGCUAUGCCUGGCCCCUCAUAGUUUACUGCAUACACGUAAGUCACCCUUAUAGUUUACUGCAUACACUUUGCAUUAAUGCUAGUGGAGGUCCCUGAACCACUGCCAGUUACUGAGCCAUUAGUAGCAAAGCCCUGGCAGGAUUCCAACAGUGAAAGAAACCAUUGUUACCAAUGGACAUAUAUAUGGUGCUGGUCUCUGUCCCAAUGGAGAAUAAUAAUAAUAAUAAUAAUAAUAAUAAUAAUAAUAAUAAUAAUCAUCAUCAUCAUCAUCAUCAUCAUCAACUGAUGACCCAAAAUGCAGACUGUGCAAGGAAACCGACGAAACCAUUGAUCAUAUCCUCAGCUGCUGUAAGAAAAUUGCACAGACAGACUACAAACAGAGGCACAACUAUGUGGCCCAAAUGAUUCAUUGGAACUUAUGCCUCAAGUACCACCUCCCAGCAGCAAAGAACUGGUGGGAUCACAAACCUGCAAAAAUAUUGGAAAAUGAGCACGCAAAGAUACUGUGGGACUUCCGAAUCCAGACUGACAAAGUUCUGGAACACAACACACCAGACAUCACAGUUGUGGAAAAGAAAAAGGUUUGGAUCAUUGAUGUCACCAUCCCAGGUGACAGUCGCAUUGACAAAAAACAACAGGAAAAACUCAGCCGCUAUCAGGAACUCAAGAUUGAACUUCAAAGACUCUGGCAGAAACCAGUACAGGUGGUCCCGGUGGUGAUGGGCACAUUGGGUGCCGUGCCAAAAGAUCUCAGCCGGCAUUUGGAAACAAUAGACAUUGACAAAAUUACGAUCUGCCAACUGCAAAAGGCCACCCUGCUGGGAUCUGCACGCAUCAUCCGAAAAUACAUCACACAGUCCUAGACACUUGGGAAGUGUUUGACUUGUGAUUUUGUGAUAUGAAAUCCAGCAUAUCUAUCUUGUUUGCUGUGUCAUAAUAAAAUAAUAAUAAUAAUAAUAAUAAUAAUAAUAAUACUGUAAUUGCUGGUACCCCACAUUUGAUCACCCAAGAAAAACAUUUUUACAAUGUCUGAGGCCAUAUCUAUACUGAUCAUUUAAUGCAGUACAGCGCUAGCUUCAAAAUGCAGUGACCAGACAACAAACUUCCACAAAAGCAGGUGAAAGAAAGCCCUUAAUGCACAUCAGUGUUCUGUGGUUCAUGUAAUCACCAUCCAGGCCUCAAACUAGUUCCAGGAUUUCUUAUGUUAUCUAUCUGGAUAGCAAAGCCACUUUCUUCUAUUUUGUUUUGAAACUGCAUUACAUGGUUUCAAUUAAUGAGAUGUUGCCUCUGUGUGUGUGUGCCUUCCGAUCUCCUUCAUGAAUUUAGCUGGGUUUUCGUAAGCAGGAAAUACUCAGUUGGUUUUGCUAGUUGUUUCCUCUGAAAUACAGCCUACAGCACCUGGAGUGCGGUGGGGGUCCCCCAUCCAUGUACUAACCAGAGACGGCUCUACUUAGCUUCCAGGACCAGAUGCCUUUGGUGCCUUUGAAGUCUUUAAGCCAGCUGGGAAGCUCUUACAGAACUGCAACCCUAAGGACAAAUCCUAAUGGCAAUGAGCCCAAUGUGCAGAGUGCUCCAAACUAGAAAUCUGUUGUUAAUAGGGCGAGUAUAUAAGGAGAGUAAAUGAUCAAAUAUCAGCUCUUUUUCCUCCCUCUGGGCUUGCUUUACACUUUAAACAGAGAAAACUUUGUUUUUGACACAUCUUGAGGCAUGUCUCAAUUUCUCCCAUGUUUGAACAGAAAGGGAAAUGUAGUCUGAAGCUGACAGCAGAUACAAAUCCUUUCCUUCCUAACCAUUCAUUUGCCCCCAAAAUACCCAUAGAAAUAUGAAGAAAGCAAAUCUGGAUGGUCAAAUUUGUGUGGGAUGCUUUACUUGUGAAAUCACCAUAUUGAUUUGUGGGCUGAGUUAAAUGACAUGGGAGUUCUCAGUAAUCAAAUCCCCUAAAUCAAUGGAAUAUAAAUAAGCAUUGUUUCCCGCUAUUAGCCGCAGCUUCUGCCAACCUAGAAGUUCAAAAACAUGCAAAUGUGAGUAGAUCAAUAGGUACCGCUCCGGCGAGAAGGUAACAGCACUCCAUGUAGUCAUGCUGGCCACAUGAUCUUGGAGAUGUCUACGGACGAUGCCAGCUCUUGGCUUAGAAAUGGAGAUGAGCACCAACCCCCAAGUCGGACAUGACUAGACCUAGUGUCAGGAGAAAACCUUUAUCUUUUUACCUUGACUCUAUAUUCAAGAACUGAUUUAACCAAGAGGAUUUGGCCAUUGAUUGUUUAUGAGGUAGGGUUCCCUAACCUCUGGUCCAUGGACACCUAGAACAUUUUUCUCAAACUCUGCCCAUAUUUUUGGGAUUAGCCAUACAAAUAAGACUUCUGGGGACUGAAGUCAAAACUUUUGGAAGACGAGAGUGUGAGAACCAGUGCCCUUUACUGAUAGACAGAUUUUGUUCUUUUCCAUAGUUUCCUCCUCUUUGUUAAAAUUGUAGCCUGACAUGGUGGUUGCUAGAGCGGUCCAGCAUUUCUGUGUUCUCAAAUAAUAUGCUGUGUCCAGGUUGGUUCACCAAGUGCUCUGCUAUGGCUGACUUUUCUGGCUGAAUCAGUCUGCAGUGCCUUUCAUGUUCCUUGAUUCGUGUUUGGGCAUUGCUGCAUUUGGUGGUCCCUAUUAAUUACUGCUUGAAGGGAACAUUAGACAUGAGAAGCAAGAAUAUGAGAAACUCUAUAAACUGAUUAAAUAAAUAGAAAUAUGCAAGUCCUUGUUUCAACUCUGAGCUAUUUUGGGCUACUACAAUUCCAAUCCUCCAUAGCAACCAUGGAAACUCUUUCUCCAUCCUAUUGAGGAGUAUGAUAUUUGUAGUUCAAGACAUCAUGGGGCACUUUGUUGGAGAAAAUUGCCUUGCAUACUUAUAAAUAAGCUGCUCGUAUUAUGGCCAAUUUGGAUAAUAGAAAACAAUUAUUAGGCAAAGAAGUAUUACCUUAUAAUUUGGAAAUAAUUACUGGAGUUGUUUAAGUAUUUAUGUGACGCAGAGUAAUUAGUUUCUUUUCCUGUGGACAAAAUGUCUUCAUCCCCACCGCAUGCAGAUUAAUUACAAAGACUGCAGAGUGACACAUGCAACUUCCCUGCCCUCAUCUGUGUUAUCCUUCAGUCUUAAUCUGAAGAUGGCAAAGGAAGCAAACCACUAAGGUAGUUUUGAACACAAGUGAUUCUCAACAUUUCAGCUAAGACAAGAGAGCAUUUUCAAUUGGCUCUUAUGGAUGUAAAGCUCAAUUGUUCAGAAUCUGUUGCUUCAGAUGAAAUGUGUGUCCUUGAACUUUGAAAGGGCUUUUAAAAAUAAUCACUUGUUCACUAAAGUAAAUAUGUGGAUGUGAUAUUAUGAACCCACCGAGAUAGAUAAACAUCCAAACUGCACUUGUCUUUGUUGCUUCCUUAAAUGAAAAUAAUCUUUAGGUCACACUGAAGACCUUGUUAUUUCAAGUGCCUGAACAGGACACCUAGUUUGCGACAAGGAAUAAAACCACAUAAAACUCAUUUGCCAUGGUUGUUGUAUCUUAAUACCAAAGAGUUUACAUUCCUCUAUUAAAGCAUGAUGCUGUUGCAUUAUACUACAGCAUUAUACUGCAGCAAUAUCUUUCAUAGUGUGUAUCUAUUAUGUAAUGUAAAUGUAAUGAAGUUGACCCCACCUUAAAUGCCAUGGCUCAAUGCUAUGCAAUCAUCAGAGAUGUGGUUCAAGAAGACCAAAGGCUGUGUAAAACUAUAACUCCCAUUUUUAAAAUUGUGUCAGAAGCAGCUUGAGAACAUACUGCAAGUAGCUUCUGGUGUGAGACAAUUGGCCGUCUACAGAGACAUUGCCCAGGGGACGGCCAGAUGUGUUACCAUCCUGAUGGGAGGCUCCUCUCAUGUCUCCACAAGCUAGAGCUGACAGCCAGGAGCUCUCCCCAUCUUGCAGAUUCAAACCGGCAACUUGCAGGACAGCAACCCAACCUUCAGGUCAGCAGUUCAGCCAGCACAUGGGAGUUUUAAGGUGCCACCGUGGAUCUUACAACUCCCAUGAUUCCAUAGGACUGAGUCAUAGCAGUUAAAGUGGUAUCAAACUACAGUAUAGCCACAAUGCCACAAAAGUGUGUGCUAUCCUUUGAAUUCUUCAUCGGGUGAAGAAGUAUCAAAAGAGAGAGGAAUUAGUGUUUAAAGUGCAAGAAUGAGGAUGUUGUGGCUAUAAAUAUAUACUGUAUAUGUAAUCUGAAGAUGGAGACUGCAAAGUCAAUGAAUUAGUCACUGGUUGUGGUUGUAUCCGUUUCUAAAAUAAAGAAGCAAUGACAUA